CGCGGUAUCCUGACCGUGCUAAGGUAGCGUGAUAAGUUGCCCUUUAAUUGUGGGCUUGUAUGAGUGGGUACACGAGAAUUAAGCUGUCUCUAAAUAAUAGAAAUUAAUAUUAAGGUGAAAAAGCCUUGAUUUUAAUAUAGGACAAAAAGACCCUAUAGAGCUUUAUUUUAUAAUCAUAAAUAGAAAAGUUAAAAAUAUUUUUUAUUUAAGGGUUAAAAUUUAACUGGGGCGGUUUAUGAAGAGAAAUAUCUUCUUUAAGAUUUUAAAACUUAUAAGUUUAUUAUAAUAAUAGAUCCUUUUAAAGAUUAAUAAAAUAGCUACCUUAGGGGUAACAGACUAAUUUUUUUUGAGAGUUCGUAUUGACAAAAAAGUUUGGCACCUCGAUGUUGGCUUAG
rnacentral:rRNA from 1 species